AUCGGAAUCGGAAUCGGAAUCGGACGCUGCGAGUUUGUCCGCCGGUGCUUCGGCGAGGAAGCGUGGCAUUUGGUUUGGAAAGAAACGGUCGGCCAUUUCUACGUGUGCUUCUCAGAUGGUGGUUCCGAUCUUCCCCGCAGAAAAGCUGAGGAACGUCGAGAAGGUGCAGCAGAGAGAGUGAGUGGAAGAUUUCGGAAGCAGGUAGGCGGUUGCUGUUG
rnacentral:misc_RNA from 1 species